rnacentral:rRNA from 1 species
AGGGAAUUCCUGGUGUAGCGGUGAAAUGCGUAGAGAUCAGGAAGAACACCGGUGGCGAAAGCGCUUUGUUUGGGCCUUAUCUGACACUGAGGGACGAAAGCUAGGGGAGCGAAUGGGAUUAGAUACCCCAGUAGUCCUAGCCGUAAACGAUGGAUACUAGGUGUGGCCUGUAUCGACCCGGGCCGUGCCGGAGCUAACGCGUUAAGUAUCCCGCCUGGGGAGUACGCACGCAAGUGUGAAACUCAAAGGAAUYGACGGGGGCCCGCACAAGCGGUGGAGUAUGUGGUUUAAUUCGAUGCAACGCGAAGAACCUUACCAGGGCUUGACAUGUCCAGAAUUUCGGUGAAAGCUGAAAGUGCCUACGGGAACUGGAACACAGGUGGUGCAUGGCUGUCGUCAGCUCGUGUCGUGAGRUGUUGGGUUAAGUCCCGCAACGAGCGCAACCCUCGUCCUCAGUUGCCAUCAUUAAGUUGGGAACUCUGGGGAGACUGCCGGUGACAAACCGGAGGAAGGUGGGGAUGACGUCAAGUCAGCAUGCCCCUUACGUCCUGGGCGACACACGUACUACAAUGGUCGGGACAGAGGGUAGCCAAACUGCAAAGUCGAGCCAAUCCCAUAAACCCGGCCCCAGUUCAGAUCGCUCUCUGCAACUCGAGAGCGUGAAGGAGGAAUCGCUAGUAAUCGCCGGUCAGCAUUCGGCGGUGAAUCCGUUCCCGGGCCUUGUACACACCGCCCGUCUCCCAUGGGAGCUGGCGGUGCCCGAAGUCGUUACUCUAACCCGCAAGGAGG